UUCUAUAGCCAUACCACCCUGAACAAGCCCGAUGUCUGAUCUUGGAAGCUAAGCAGGGUCGGGCCUGGUUAGUACUUGGAUGGGAGACCCCCCUAGGAAGACCAGGUGCUAUAGGUA
rnacentral:rRNA from 1 species